rnacentral:rRNA from 1 species
UGGGGAAUUUUGGACAAUGGGGGCAACCCUGAUCCAGCCAUGCCGCGUGUGUGAAGAAGGCCUUCGGGUUGUAAAGCACUUUCGGACGGAACGAAAUCGCGCGAUCUAAUAAGUCGCGUGGAUGACGGUACCGUAAGAAGAAGCACCGGCUAACUACGUGCCAGCAGCCGCGGUAAUACGUAGGGUGCGAGCGUUAAUCGGAAUUACUGGGCGUAAAGUGUGCGCAGGCGGCAGAGCAAGUCGAGUGUGAAAGCCCCCGGGCUUAACUUGGGAACUGCGCUCGAAACUACUUUGCUGGAGUGUGGCAGAGGAAGGUGGAAUUCCACGUGUAGCGGUGAAAUGCGUAGAGAUGUGGAGGAACACCGAUGGCGAAGGCAGCCUCUGGGCCAACGACUGACGCUCAUGCACGAAAGCGUGGGGAGCAAACAGGGAUUAGAUACCCGUGGUAGUCCACGCCCUAAACGAUGAUGACUA